rnacentral:rRNA from 1 species
UGGGGAAUAUUGCACAAUGGAGGGAACUCUGAUGCAGCGACGCCGCGUGAACGAAGAAGGCUUUCGAGUCGUAAAGUUCUUUUAUAUGGGAAGAUAAUGACGGUACCAUAAGAAGAAGCCCCGGCUAACUACGUGCCAGCAGCCGCGGUAAUACGUAGAGGGCUAGCGUUGUCCGGAAUCACUGGGCGUAAAGGGUUCGCAGGCGGAAAUGCAAGUCAGGUGUAAAAGGCAGUAGCUUAACUACUGUAAGCAUUUGAAACUGCAUAUCUUGAGAAGAGUAGAGGUAAGUGGAAUUUUUAGUGUAGCGGUGAAAUGCGUAGAUAUUAAAAAGAAUACCGGUGGCGAAGGCGACUUACUGGGCUCAUUCUGACGCUGAGGAACGAAAGCGUGGGUAGCAAACAGG